rnacentral:pre_miRNA from 11 species
ACCCUAGGGUGGCAGUGUAGACCAGUGGUCCCCAACGCGGUGCCCGCGGGCGCCAUGGCGCCCGCGGGCACCGCGUUGGGGACCACUGGUCUACACUGCCACCCUAGGGU